rnacentral:lncRNA from 1 species
ACAAGAUAAUUGAUAGUUGCAACUUGCAACAGAUACUAAAACUAAAUUUAUGAUCUAUUCGAUCCAUAUAUAAGUACAACAAAUAACAAUCUCUCCAAAAAAAAAAACCCACAAAUAACAAGCAUGAUUACAGAGAGGAAGACACGAAUAAAUGAAUGAGCAAUAUGUAAAUUGCAAAGACAUUUAUGUAAUUUUGUACUAGGCCAGCAGGAAGAAACCAAUUAACAGCGAAGUACAAAGAAUUAAGCUAGCUUGAGACACAGAUGAUCGAACCCUGAUGGCUGAAGAUUUUUUCCCAGUGCCGCGUGUUCCCAUCCCGCCUCCUCUUCUUCUGGCGCCAAGUACUGCAAGCUUUCUGUUGUUGUUGAAAAAGAGGCUCGCCCUAUGGUAUGGAAACAGGGUCUUGUGUUGGCUAAUAACUUGAGUUGUUUGUGAAUCUAAGGUUGCAGCAUCAUGUUCCCCAAGAGCUUUAUGGGUCAUUAAGAAGAGAGUGAGAAGAGAAGCACACAGAAUCCUUCUUCUAUCGAUCAUCAUACUGACGCAAACUAAAUGCUUAGUGUUGAGUAAAGCAAUUAAGAAUCAACAGAAAGACAGGAAUCGAUAUGCAGAGUCGUGGGGUUGGAGGAUUAUCAUUUAUCAAUCGUGUUGGAUCUAGAUUCUAGACUUAGUCCUCACAUGUGGUGGUAGUUGUUGUAGUGGGAUCAGGUUAACACAUCACGGCCUAACUUUUUGUUUUUAAAAUAAUUGAAGCGG